CCCCGGUCGUUGGGAGAGGGCACCUCCCUAUCAGCGAGAUGCCGCCGAAGGCGCAACCCCCAGGAACCGCUCAGGCAAAAGGGCCAACGACGCAGC
rnacentral:ncRNA from 1 species